rnacentral:rRNA from 1 species
AGUGAACGCUGGCGGUAGGCCUAACACAUGCAAGUCGAACGGCAGCACAGUAAGAGCUUGCUCUUACGGGUGGCGAGUGGCGGACGGUUGAGGAAUACAUCGGAAUCUACUUUUUCGUGGGGGAUAACGUAGGGAAACUUACGCUAAUACUGCAUACGACCUACGGGUGAAAGCAGGGGAUCUUCGGACUUUGCGCGAUUGAAUGAGCCGAUGUCGCAUUAGCUAGUUGGCGGGGUAAAGGCCCACCAAGGCGACGAUCCGUAGCUGGUCUGAGAGGAUGGUCAGCCACACUGGAACUGAGACACGGUCCAGACUCCUACGGGAGGCAGCAGUGGGGAAUAUUGGACAAUGGGCGCAAGCCUGAUCCAACAAUACCGCGUGGGUGAAGAAGGCCUUCGGGUUGUAAAGCCCUUUUGUUGGGAAAGAAAAGCAGCAGGUUAAUACCUCGCUGUUCUGACGGUACCCAGAGAAUAAGCACCGGCUAACUUCGUG